CUUAUCUUUAAAGUUCGGGAUUCUUACUCCCGGGAUGUUGGUUUUAACCUUUUAGG
rnacentral:tRNA from 1 species